GCUUUCUUGUCUGCAUCUGCUGACUGGCCACAGGGAAACUGACCUUAUUCUGGGAACGAAGGUGGAAGGCUUCCUUGGGGAGAUGCUAUGUGAAGGUCAGUAGGAAGAGGCGAUGUCUUCAAGCAAUGAAGGAGAAGGUGGACUCUGGGUCCAGGAAGGCUGCAGAACUGUAGACAAAGGCUCAGAAGCUCAAGCAGACAUGUGACAUGAGAACUCAGGUCACUGUGGAUCUAUGCACAGAAUGAGAUGCCUAAGAUGCAAAGAUACAGAAGACACCACCAUCCGGCUCUCUCUUCCUUUGACAGAAUCUCUCUGUGUAGCCCAGGCUAGCAUGAAGCUCCCGAUCCACUGCUUCAGCCUCCUAACUACUUUGUCUACUUUGACAAUGUUCCACUCCACAAGAGAAAACAAAUUCAGAACAAAGGUAAGAAAUGAUGGUUCUGGUUCUGAGUACUGAGUGCCAAGUACUGAGUGCUGAGUACCCAGAGUGUUGCUUUGCUGAAGUCGAGGGGCCACAUUUAAAAAGUAAGGGGAAGUAAGCGCACAGAAGGAACUGAUAUUUAUUGGGAGCAGUGCUCCCUGCAUUGGCAGAGAUGCUCCAUAAAUAUUCGUUCGAUCACUUGUCAUCCUUCAGGAAAGGAUGUUGUAGCUAUUUCACAGGUCAAAGAAGCAAGGCACAGGGAGAUUAAAUAGUUUUGGGCAGAGUAAGCUACAGAUCCACAGGCCCAGUCACUAAGAGGCUCACAGUCUCUCCACUGUCUAGCUGUGGAUAAGAGUGCCCCCGUGUGGCCAAAAUUUUCAGUCUGAG
rnacentral:lncRNA from 1 species